UUCUAGCGUUUGACAAAACUUUUCGUUUUAAACAAAAAACUUUGUUUGGCACUACAAGCUUCUAGCUUUAAGUUUAAACAAAACACUCUAAAUCCAAAUGCUACUUCAUGUAACGUUUAACAAAACGCUACAAGCUACCAGCUAUUAGCUAAUUUUUCCGAACACGUACUUAAUUAGACUAUUUGUGAGAAUUAGAAUUAUGUAAGUUUUAAAUACCGUGUCAUAUGGUCUUUAAAAGGAGCUGAUUCGUACACACCAGGUUUUUGCCAUACACAACGAUUUUUUACAGAUAGACAAAUUUAUCUUUUUUUAUUUACAUUUUACCCCCUCCAACUAAUUUACAGAUAGACAAAUUUAUCUUUUUUUAUUUACAUUUUACCCCCUCCAACUAAUAGUGUAAAACCCUUCCCUCAAAGUCAAACAAUGCAGUGUCUCUUCGAUUCCCACGCCUAUUCGUUUCUUCCAUAUCUGAAUUGAUCCACCGCCAUCUUCAUUUGCUUCACCGUCGUCUCAUUCAUCUACCGACAUCACAGUGUGAUCCAACGCCAUCCUUGGCAUGCUCUAUCGACUACCAUCGCUGCUAUUGAGAAAGUAUUUCCACCACCAUCGUCGGCUUGCUUAAUCUUGUUUACAAUUGAAAAUUUCCCUCAAGUCGUUUGCGAUUGUAAUUGUUGAUUGUUGUCUGAUUUAUGUAACUUUUGAUUGUAAAUAUAACAAAGCAAGUAACAAAUCAAGUUUUAAUGAUUGUAUCGGCUACCAUCGCUGCUAUUGAGAAAGUAUUUCCUCCACAAUCGUCGACUUGCUUCAUCAGAGAGCAAGUAACAAAGCAUGUUUUAUUGGUUGUAUCGACUACCAUUGCUGCUAUCGCUGCUAUUGAGAAAGUAUUUCAUCCACCAUCGUCGACUUGCUUCGUCUGGUUUGCAAUUGAAAAUUUCCCUUAAGUUCGUGAUUAUAAUUGUUAAUUGUGUCUGAUUUAUGUAACUUUUGAAUGUAAAUAUAAUAGAGCAAGUAACAAAGCAAGUUUUAAUGGUUGUAUAAUUCCUAGUUCCAAACUUUGGCACAAUAUUUUCUAAUUUAUUACAA